CUUCUCAUUUGCUUUCUAUAUAACCCAUGUAACGAGCUUUAUGCCGGUGACUCCCAAACCAGUUGGUUUUAGGGCACCAGGUUUUAGACCAUUGCAGGCUUAUUCACUCGAGUUAUAAAGGCUCGAUCAGAUGACUUUUUAUUAACUUCUUUACUUCUUGCUUUCUAUAUGACCCAUGUAUCGAGCUUUAGGCCGGUGAUUCCCAGAUCAGUUGACCUUAGGGCACCAGAUUUUGAAAUAUCCUUACAGGCUUACUUGCUCGAGUCAUAAAGGCUGAAAA
rnacentral:lncRNA from 1 species